rnacentral:rRNA from 1 species
GACGAACGCUGGCGGCGUGCCUAAUACAUGCAAGUCGCGCGGAUGGACUUGUCCAUCAGCGGCGGACGGGUGAGUAACACGUGGGUAACCUGCCUUGCAGACCGGUAUAACGCCUGGAAACGGGUGCUAAUCCCGGAUAGGAUCCUUGGCCGCAUGGCCGAGGAAGGAAAGGCGCUAUGGCGUCACUGCAAGAGGGGCCCGCGGCGCAUUAGCCAGUUGGUGGGGUAAUGGCCUACCAAAGCGACGAUGCGUAGCCGACCUGAGAGGGUGACCGGCCACACUGGGACUGAGACACGGCCCAGACUCCUACGGGAGGCAGCAGUAGGGAAUCUUCCGCAAUGGGCGCAAGCCUGACGGAGCAACGCCGCGUGAGUGAAGACGGUCUUCGGAUUGUAAAGCUCUGUCAACCGGGGAGAGCGAAGAGGAGAGGGAAUGCUCCUUUAGAGACGGUACCGGUGGAGGAAGCCCCGGCUAACUACGUGUCAGCAGCCGCGGUAAUACGUAGGGGGCAAGCGUUGUCCGGAAUGACUGGGCGUAAAGCGCGCGCAGGCGGUGCAUCACGUCUGAGGUGAAAGGUCGGGGCUCAACUUCGACAUGGCCUUGGAAACGGGAGCACUUGAGGGUCGGAGAGGUCAGGGGAAUUCCACGUGUAGCGGUGAAAUGCGUAGAGAUGUGGAGGAAUACCAGUGGCGAAAGGCGCCUGACUGGACGAAACCUGACGCUGAGGCGCGAAGCGUGGGGAGCAACAGGAUUAGAUACCCUGGUAGUCCACGCGGUAACGAUGAGUGCUAGGUGUCGGAGGGUACCACCUCCGGUGCCGAAGGAACCCACUAAGCACUCCGCCU